AAGUCGUAACAAGGUCUCCGUAGGUGAACCUGCGGAGGGAUCAUUACCGAGUGAGGGCUCCGGCCCGACCUCCAACCCUUUGUGAACCAACUUGUUGCUUCGGGGCGACCCUGCCGUCCGCGGCGCGGCGCCCCCUGGAGGCCUUCAAACACUGCAUAUCGUACGUCGGAGUCUCAAGUAAAUUGAACAAAG
rnacentral:misc_RNA from 1 species